GGAUGGAGAAGUGGUUAUCUCGCUUGCCUCAUAAGCAAGAGAACGCUGGUUCAAUCCCAGCUCCGAGCCA
rnacentral:tRNA from 1 species